ensembl:lncRNA
GAAAUUCUUACAGAGCUUGAUCCCCGGCAUUGGAGUUGCCGAGGUGCGGGAUCACGUGGAAAUCAACCGAUAUGCUCUGCUACGACACAUCAACUUAACUAAGACCCUGGGAACGGCCUUAGCAGGAGAACAGAAGGCCAUCAGAACGAUGGUGGUGCAGAACAGACUGACACUAGACCUGCUAACAGCAUCACAAGGAGGAGUUUGCACGUUUAUCCCUGAUGGAUACGAAGCUGGAGGAGACAUUUAUGAAGCUUUGCAGAAUUUGACCGUUCUGCAAAAAUAUGUCACUGACCACACACCUGGAGCAGCUACAGCACAAGGCUGGCUGGACUGGCUGGACUGGCUGUUCGGCGGUUCAUGGCUGGCUGCUGUAGCAAAGCCGUUUGUCCUUGUAGGUUUCAUCAUGGUAGCACUGCUCAUAUUAGUGUUGUGUGUGGUGCCAUGUCUAAGAGUAAUGAUUUCAAAGAUGAUAACAACUACAAUGACUGCUUAUGUUGCCGUGCCUCAAGAAGAACAGCAUCCCGUCGCAAUUCUGUUAGAGGAACUUGUAAUAGCUGCUAAUAAAUGACGUGGUGAUUAAAAAGGACUUGUCAAGUGAUCAUGCACUGAUUAACACAUUAGUAGUUUAUACAGGUACAACAUAAGGUUUUCUUAUUCUUUUAUCCUUUUAUUUUUUGUAGUUUUAGUUUUAUUGUUUUCUCUUGAUUAUUCCUGUUGUUAUUUCAUUUACUAUGCUUUUCUUUGUUCUUUUAUUAUCUUUUUAUUUGUUUUAUUCUUUAGACCACAUGAUUUACAUUUCUGCUAUGUUGACAUUUUGAACAUUAAAAAAUUGCUAAAGAUACUUAAUAAAUAACCUUCACAGACAAUUGUUGUAUACAUUUAAAAUAAGUUAAAACAGGAGGGAAUGUUAGUGGAAAAUGAUUCUAUGUUUCUUUACCUUCUUUUAAAUGUACAAAGAUGCCUUUUCUCUGCCCUUUGUCUAUGGUUAGAUUAGUUUAGAAUUAUCCUUUUAGACUUUCCCAGCGAAGACAUAUUGUUUUGGGACAUAUUGUUUUAGAUUGUUUUAUCUCUCACAGCUUUCUCCCAGCUCUCUGCUGACGAGACUAGCGCCACAUAUGGAGUUGUUUAUUUUAUCUGUUUAUUAUUUUCUUAUCCUGUUCUCACUGUCUUUCCUAUAAAAAGUGCCAAGCCUCUGUUCACGGUGUGAGUUGUUUUUAACAGCUUACCCGUGUGCACGUUAAAGCAUCAAAAGUAAUUCUGUCUCAUUGUGUCUUUAUUUCUCCUGGGUCUUUUGCAGAGUUUUCCCCCAACAUAUAUAUUAAUACAGGCACAUUGAGAAAUUCAAUUUCUGUCCACAGAUAAUUUAAUAAGUUCUUUCUACCAUCCACACAGGUGGUAAGUACACAGGUACUAAAAUCAUAAUCAGUAUAAUGUGUAUUUUCCAACUGAAUCAAUCACUCUGCAUCUGUACAC